rnacentral:rRNA from 1 species
AUUGAACGCUGGCGGCAGGCUUAACACAUGCAAGUCGAGCGGGGGAAGGUAGCUUGCUACCGGACCUAGCGGCGGACGGGUGAGUAAUGCGUAGGAAUCUGCCUAUUAGUGGGGGACAACAUCUCGAAAGGGAUGCUAAUACCGCAUACGUCCUACGGGAGAAAGCAGGGGAUCUUCGGACCUUGCGCUAAUAGAUGAGCCUAAGUCGGAUUAGCUAGUUGGUGGGGUAAAGGCCUACCAAGGCGACGAUCUGUAGCGGGUCUGAGAGGAUGAUCCGCCACACUGGGACUGAGACACGGCCCAGACUCCUACGGGAGGCAGCAGUGGGGAAUAUUGGACAAUGGGGGGAACCCUGAUCCAGCCAUGCCGCGUGUGUGAAGAAGGCCUUAUGGUUGUAAAGCACUUUAAGCGAGGAGGAGGCUACUCUAGUUAAUACCUAGGGAUAGUGGACGUUACUCGCAGAAUAAGCACCGGCUAACUCUGUGCCAGCCGCCGCGGUAAUAC